UUAAGUUAUUAAGGGCGCACGGUGGAUGCCUUGGCACUAGAAGCCGAUGAAGGACGUUACUAACGACGAUAUGCUUUGGGGAGCUGUAAGUAAGCUUUGAUCCAGAGAUUUCCGAAUGGGGAAACCCAGCAUGAGUUAUGUCAUGUUAUCGAUAUGUGAAUACAUAGCAUAUCAGAAGGCACACCCGGAGAACUGAAACAUCUUAGUACCCGGAGGAAGAGAAAGAAAAUUCGAUUCCCUUAGUAGCGGCGAGCGAAACGGGAAGAGCCCAAACCAACAAGCUUGCUUGUUGGGGUUGUAGGACACUCUAUAUGGAGUUACAAAGGACGACAUUAGACGAAUCAUCUGGAAAGAUGAAUCAAAGAAGGUAAUAAUCCUGUAGUCGAAAAUGUUGUCUCUCUUGAGUGGAUCCUGAGUACGACGGAGCACGUGAAAUUCCGUCGGAAUCUGGGAGGACCAUCUCCUAAGGCUAAAUACUCUCUAGUGACCGAUAGUGAACCAGUACCGUGAGGGAAAGGUGAAAAGCACCCCGGAAGGGGAGUGAAAUAGAACCUGAAACCGUGUGCUUACAAGUAGUCAGAGCCCGUUAAUGGGUGAUGGCGUGCCUUUUGUAGAAUGAACCGGCGAGUUACGAUUUGAUGCAAGGUUAAGCAGUAAAUGUGGAGCCGUAGCGAAAGCGAGUCUGAAUAGGGCGUUUAGUAUUUGGUCGUAGACCCGAAACCAGGUGAUCUACCCUUGGUCAGGUUGAAGUUCAGGUAACACUGAAUGGAGGACCGAACCGACUUACGUUGAAAAGUGAGCGGAUGAACUGAGGGUAGCGGAGAAAUUCCAAUCGAACCUGGAGAUAGCUGGUUCUCUCCGAAAUAGCUUUAGGGCUAGCCUCAAGUGAUGAUUAUUGGAGGUAGAGCACUGUUUGGACGAGGGGCCCCUCUCGGGUUACCGAAUUCAGACAAACUCCGAAUGCCAAUUAAUUUAACUUGGGAGUCAGAACAUGGGUGAUAAGGUCCGUGUUCGAAAGGGAAACAGCCCAGACCACCAGCUAAGGUCCCAAAAUAUAUGUUAAGUGGAAAAGGAUGUGGCGUUGCCCAGACAACUAGGAUGUUGGCUUAGAAGCAGCCAUCAUUUAAAGAGUGCGUAAUAGCUCACUAGUCGAGUGACACUGCGCCGAAAAUGUACCGGGGCUAAACAUAUUACCGAAGCUGUGGAUUGUCCUUUGGACAAUGGUAGGAGAGCGUUCUAAGGGCGUUGAAGCAUGAUCGUAAGGACAUGUGGAGCGCUUAGAAGUGAGAAUGCCGGUGUGAGUAGCGAAAGACGGGUGAGAAUCCCGUCCACCGAUUGACUAAGGUUUCCAGAGGAAGGCUCGUCCGCUCUGGGUUAGUCGGGUCCUAAGCUGAGGCCGACAGGCGUAGGCGAUGGAUAACAGGUUGAUAUUCCUGUACCACCUAUAAUCGUUUUAAUCGAUGGGGGGACGCAGUAGGAUAGGCGAAGCGUGCGAUUGGAUUGCACGUCUAAGCAGUAAGGCUGAGUAUUAGGCAAAUCCGGUACUCAUUAAGGCUGAGCUGUGAUGGGGAGAAGACAUUGUGUCUUCGAGUCGUUGAUUUCACACUGCCGAGAAAAGCCUCUAGAUAGAAAAUAGGUGCCCGUACCGCAAACCGACACAGGUAGUCAAGAUGAGAAUUCUAAGGUGAGCGAGCGAACUCUCGUUAAGGAACUCGGCAAAAUGACCCCGUAACUUCGGGAGAAGGGGUGCUCUUUAGGGUUAACGCCCAGAAGAGCCGCAGUGAAUAGGCCCAAGCGACUGUUUAUCAAAAACACAGGUCUCUGCUAAACCGUAAGGUGAUGUAUAGGGGCUGACGCCUGCCCGGUGCUGGAAGGUUAAGAGGAGUGGUUAGCUUCUGCGAAGCUACGAAUCGAAGCCCCAGUAAACGGCGGCCGUAACUAUAACGGUCCUAAGGUAGCGAAAUUCCUUGUCGGGUAAGUUCCGACCCGCACGAAAGGCGUAACGAUUUGGGCACUGUCUCAACGAGAGACUCGGUGAAAUCAUAGUACCUGUGAAGAUGCAGGUUACCCGCGACAGGACGGAAAGACCCCGUGGAGCUUUACUGUAGCCUGAUAUUGAAAUUCGGCACAGCUUGUACAGGAUAGGUAGGAGCCUUUGAAACGUGAGCGCUAGCUUACGUGGAGGCGCUGGUGGGAUACUACCCUAGCUGUGUUGGCUUUCUAACCCGCACCACUUAUCGUGGUGGGAGACAGUGUCAGGCGGGCAGUUUGACUGGGGCGGUCGCCUCCUAAAAGGUAACGGAGGCGCUCAAAGGUUCCCUCAGAAUGGUUGGAAAUCAUUCAUAGAGUGUAAAGGCAUAAGGGAGCUUGACUGCGAGACCUACAAGUCGAGCAGGGUCGAAAGACGGACUUAGUGAUCCGGUGGUUCCGCAUGGAAGGGCCAUCGCUCAACGGAUAAAAGCUACCCCGGGGAUAACAGGCUUAUCUCCCCCAAGAGUUCACAUCGACGGGGAGGUUUGGCACCUCGAUGUCGGCUCAUCGCAUCCUGGGGCUGUAGUCGGUCCCAAGGGUUGGGCUGUUCGCCCAUUAAAGCGGUACGCGAGCUGGGUUCAGAACGUCGUGAGACAGUUCGGUCCCUAUCCGUCGUGGGCGUAGGAAAUUUGAGAGGAGCUGUCCUUAGUACGAGAGGACCGGGAUGGACAUACCUCUGGUGUACCAGUUGUCGUGCCAACGGCAUAGCUGGGUAGCUAUGUGUGGACGGGAUAAGUGCUGAAAGCAUCUAAGCAUGAAGCCCCCCUCAAGAUGAGAUUUCCCAACUUCGGUUAUAAGAUCCCUCAAAGAUGAUGAGGUUAAUAGGUUCGAGGUGGAAGCAUGGUGACAUGUGGAGCUGACGAAUACUAAUCGAUCGAAGACUUAAUCAA
rnacentral:rRNA from 1 species